UACAGAGGUCUCAAGCGUUGUUCGGAUUCAUUGGGCGUAAAGGGUGCGUAGGCGGCGCGGUAAGUCGGGUGUGAAAUUUCGAGGCUUAACUUCGAAACUGCAUUCGAUACUGCCGUGCUCGAGGACUGGAGAGGAGACUGGAAUUUACGGUGUAGCGGUGAAAUGCGUAGAUAUCGUAAGGAAGACCAGUGGCGAAGGCGGGUCUCGUGGACAGUUCCUGACGCUGAGGCACGAAGGCCAGGGGAGCAAACGGG
rnacentral:rRNA from 1 species